GACAGAGGGUGCGAGCGUUAAUCGGAGUUACUGGGCGUAAAGGGCGCGUAGGCGGUAGAUUAAGUUGGAAGUAAAAUCCCUGGGCUUAACCUAGGAAGGUCUUUCAAAACUGGUUUACUAGAGUACUGUAGAGGGUAGUGGAAUUUCCGGUGUAGCGGUGAAAUGCGUAGAGAUCGGAAGGAACACCAGUGGCGAAGGCGGCUACCUGGACAGAUACUGACGCUGAGGCGCGAAAGCGUGGGGAGCAAACAGG
rnacentral:rRNA from 1 species